GUCUCGGUAGUGUAAUGGAUCACGACAGACCUGACAUCUGUAAGUGCGGGUUCAAGUCCCGCCUGAGGUU
rnacentral:tRNA from 1 species